rnacentral:rRNA from 1 species
CGCAAGGGCUCUCACCACGAGAUGAGUCCGCGUCCCAUCAGCUAGUUGGCGGUGUAAUGGACCACCAAGGCUUAGACGGGUAGCUGGUCUGAGAGGAUGGCCAGCCACACUGGGACUGAGACACGGCCCAGACUCCUACGGGAGGCAGCAGUGGGGAAUAUUGGACAAUGGGCGAAAGCCUGAUCCAGCCAUGCCGCGUGAGUGAUGAAGGUCUUCGGAUCGUAAAGCUCUGUGGGAAGGGACGAAAAAGCGUGACCUAAUACGUCUCGCCUUGACGGUACCUUCUUAGCAAGCACCGGCUAACUCCGUGCCAGCAGCCGCGGUAAUACGGAGGGUGCAAACGUUGCUCGGAAUUAUUGGGCGUAAAGCGCAUGUAGGCGGUCCGCUAAGUCGGAUGUGAAAGCCCUCGGCUUAACCGAGGAAGUGCAUCCGAAACUGGCGGGCUAGAGUACGGAAGAGGGUUUCGGAAUUCCCGGUGUAGAGGUGAAAUUCGUAGAUAUCGGGAGGAACACCAGUGGCGAAGGA